UACGUAGGGGGCUAGCGUUGUCCGGAAUCAUUGGGCGUAAAGCGCGUGUAGGCGGCCCGAUUAGUCCGCUGUGAAAGUCCAGGGCUCAACCCUGGGAUGCCGGUGGAUACUGUCGGGCUCGAGUCCGGAAGAGGCGAGUGGAAUUCCUGGUGUAGCGGUGAAAUGCGCAGAUAUCAGGAGGAACACCAAUGGCGAAGGCAGCUCGCUGGGACGUGACUGACGCUGAGACGCGAAAGCGUGGGGAGGCAAACAGG
rnacentral:rRNA from 1 species